rnacentral:rRNA from 1 species
AGAGUUUGAUCCUGGCUCAGAAUCAACGCUGGCGGCGUGCCUAACACAUGCAAGUCGAACGAGAAAAUCCGGGUGUAGCAAUACAUUCGGGUGAGUAAAGUGGCGCACGGGUGAGUAACACGUAGCUAACCUACCCUCGAGCGGGGGAUAACCUGGGGAAACUCGGGCUAAUACCGCAUAAGAUCCGCAAGGACCAAAGG